GGGCCUGUAGCUCAGUUGGUAGAGCAGCGGACUUUUAAUCCGCGUGUCGAGGGUUCGAUCCCCUCCGGGCCCACCA
rnacentral:tRNA from 1 species